GGGGAAUACAAAGUAGUUUGAUCCAUUGCUUUAGUUUGCUGGGCAAUGAGAGGUUUCCCAGGAUGUGGGACUUUCAACGCUAAAAGGAAAGUGCCAGGCAAACCAGGAUGAAUUGGUGACUUUAGCAGAAGGGGAAGAGAAUGUCCCUGGUGGAGGGUGGGACAAGUUCAAGUACUCUGCUGGAAAAGCUUCAGGGGCCAGGCUAGGCAGAGCCCUGUAGGGUGCGGCAGCAGUGUUUUCUAUCACCUGUGCAGUGGGAGGUCACCAGAGGGUUUUUGUAGAAACCUUUCUAGCUCUCAUGUGGAGAAUGGGUUGGAGCCCAGUAAGAGGGAAGCAUGGGGACCAGUUUUCUCCAGGGGAGGAAGGUUGUUAAAUGUGGUUUGGGUUCUGUGAGGACCUAGUCAGAUUCACCCUAGGGGGUUGGGGGGGUGAGGUUGAGUUAUUGCUUCCUCAUCUCUGAGUGCUGGGAAGAGUGGGCAGACUCUGAAUCUACCUUUUAUAAUUUUGUUUAAUACCAGCACUUACUGCAAAUUGCAAAGUAGGUGAGAUUGGAGUGGUUUUUUGAUAAAGAGAGAGCUUGUCAAGGGGAAUUUCGGAGCCAUUUUCCACAUCAACUCAAUAGAGGUGUUAAUCCUCAAUCUGGAUAACAGAAUAAUUCAACUACUGACUUUGGCUUUAAACUCCACUGCAGAUUAACCAACUGUCAAGGACCUCAGCUGCCAGCAGACAGGCCUCGAUGAUGAAGAAUGUCAGACACCCACGGCAGGCACCGUGUGGACACUCCAGGCCUGACCCCUCCCCGUGGAAGGCACAGGGGCAGUGCUGGUGAACUUCUGGAUGGCCCUGGGUAGUUGAUUGCUGGCUGCCACCAUCCCCCAACAGGGCAGGAAGAAACCUGUUUUGUGCCAGAUGACAAGAACCUGGAUUCACCUGUACCAGUAUGGUGGCGUGGGGUCGCUGGAGGGAUGUUUAUUUCCACCCUUCAGGAAGCAGCUCUGCAUAAAUUGUGCCUUGAAGAAGAAGACCUCAGAUCUGAGGUUAGAAGGCCGCUGCUUGUGAUGCACUGAAGCUCAGAGGUCACCCCAUCCGACUCUCCACACCAUCCCUCAGAAAACCACCUCAAUGAUCCAAAACGGACUCAGGUGUAUGACUGAAGAGGUCCUGGACCUCCAGAGAUAAAAUUACCAGCUCCUUAGAAGCACUCCAGAGUUUAUCAAAGCCUACUUCCGCUGGGGAAAGCUCUGUGCCUCCCCUCAGCAGCCACCCAUGGUAUCUACCCAUGGCUGCUUCUCUAAGUCCCCUGCCAGCCCCACCUUCAGGAGCUGGAAUUGGGAUGGGUAAAGUUUCCACAGCUACUUUCUUAAUGUAGGAAUCACUCCGAGGCCCUGCACAACACGUACUUGACACCUU
rnacentral:lncRNA from 10 species